AGUAUUUGUCAGUAUUUGUCACGCUCGCUGGAAGGUUAGAUCUCUAUGAUCAAAUCGAGCCGAACCUCAUAAACACGCGAGAUACGAGCGGGGCGGUAGCGGCUCCAUAGGAUUUUCAUCUUUUUACGUAGAAUGGAGGAGAUCGACAAUAUAAUAAUUCACUCGUUGCGACAAAUAGGCUGUGACAUUGAAGAGAGUGUAAUAAACCUAAGUGGCUUUAAUACUGAACUAGUUGUUGAAGCAACAGUGAGAUGCUUAGAAGCGAUAAGGCCAGGUUUAGGAUUAUCUACUGUACUACCUGUAAACAUGGCAGCACGUUUUCGACUGGGUGCUACUCUUGCACAAACAUGCACGGAACUUGGAUACAGAGGUGACAUUGGUUAUCAAACAUUCCUAUAUAAUUCGGAAGCAGAUUUACGGAGGGUAUUCAUGUUUCUCAUUGAAAAACUGCCAAAGGAAAGUGAGAAAACUGUAAACGAAUCCGUCAGCAAAGUUGCUUUAUUAGAAAAAUCAGUAGCAUCUGCAAUAUCGCAAGGACUUUCAAUACCAUGGCUACCAUAUUAUUGUCAUAAAAAGGGCAUCAGGAACAGAGGAAGAGCGAGUACCCCUUAUGUAUCUGUAAAUAUCGAAGUACUGGUACCAAAUAUGGAGGAUGAUUACAAAGACUAUUACAUGCGCUAUUUACAACCAGUGCCUGAUCAAAUGCAAAAUAUUUCAUGCUUUUUAUCUUCUAUGAUAUCGUAUAAUGCAAGAGCACUUAAUAGUUCUUCGAUAGAUAUUAUGGAGCGUAUAAGUUGGCUUAAUAGCCAACAGUCUGAAAAAAUAACUCAUUCAAGUGGACAUAAUAUUGUUAAUGAGCUUAGCAAGUUCUCGUUAGAGAACAAGAUACAAACUUCAGCGGAUUCUCAAGUGGAACCAGGGUUUGCAAUACAUUCAGUGCUUUCAGAUCAGGAAACAUUAGAAAACAAAGCAAAACAGGAAGUUGAAAUAGAAAACAUGAAAGCAGAGUGCGAAAAUCUUAGAAUAAAUAUAGAGGAAAUGCAAAACGAGAUUAAAAAGUUAACUACUAAAUUAGCACAUGCGACGAUCACUGGUCAAAAUGAAGAAAAGGAAUUAAAAAUGAAUGAGGAACAAAAAAAGAUUAAAGCAAGAGCAUAUGAAUUGCUUCAAGAUGGACCAGAGAAUAUAAAGAAAUUGGAAUGUGCAAUCGAGAUUAGCACAAACAAAUUGAUUAAUUUAGCAAAUCAAUGGGAAAAGCACAGAGUACCCUUAAUCAUGAAGUAUAGACAAGAAAGGGAAAAACAUUCCACAAAAGCUAAUGCAAGCCAAAAGAAGUUAGAUGAAAUAAAAUUAUUGAAAGAAAAGGAGAAAGAACUUCAAGAGGAAUGUCGAAAUAAGGAUCAACAGCAUUCACAGCUGGUCGCGGAAGUUCAAAAACUUCCAAAGGAAGUGAAUAGAUCUGCAUACACUCAACGAAUCUUAGAAAUAAUAAAUAAUGUUAGAAAGCAGAGAGAUGAAAUAAGCAAAGUUCUGGCGGACACUCGUGAGAUUCAGAAAGAAAUUAAUAUGCUUACUGGCAGAUUAGAGAGAUCCUUUACCGUUGUCGAUGAACUAAUAUUCAGAGACGCAAGAACAAACGAAGCUUCGAGAAAAGCGUACAAACUAUUAGCGAUGUUACACUCGGAUUGCAACGAACUCGUAAGUUUAGUCGAAGAAACGGGCGCGACAAUACGAGAAAUCAGGGAUUUGGAAGAACAGAUUGAUUCCGAAUCCGCUAAGAAUGUCGGUGCUAAUUUGGAGAGGAUAACUGCCGAUUUGAAACAAAUGAAACAAGAAACCGCAGCAUUAACGGCACAAUUACAGAGUAAAGCUUCGUGAUUGUUAUGUAUAGUGUGGUCGCAUUUUACAUAUUGUAAUAUUCAGGACCAGAUAAGAAUAUAUCUAACACAGAAUAUAAAUGAAUACGAUCAAAAGCAUC